rnacentral:lncRNA from 1 species
CCUCACAUAACAGGGUUUAGCUGAACCUACGCUUUCACGCGUACGGGGUUCGGACCCUACAUGCAGGGUCCGGACCCUGAGAGCAUUUCUAACGCGACAAUUUUCGAAAAUCUCACAUCUUGCUCUCCAAGGUCCUUUGUACCCCUAUAAGCCAUUCCGAUCACUCGGAACACUCAACGGACCUCUCUAAAGCGUCCAAUACCACACUUUGGUCAAUUUCGACUAAAGUUUGGUUUAGCGCACCGAGGACUCGGUACACUACAUCCUCCCCUCCUUUAAAGAAGUUUCGUCCUCGAAAUUUGAAAUCAUACCUUAAUUAGAUUCCGGGAAGAGGUAAUGAUACUUGUCACGCAUCUUGCUCUCGAGCUCCCAAGUAGCCUCUCAUUCGUCAUGAUUACUCUAUUGGACUUUGACAUACGGAAUCGAACGAUUCCGUAGCUCUUUUUCCUCACGAGCUAGUAGGCACACCGGGAACUCGUACGUCAUAUCCUCCCGAAGUUCGGGUGGCUCGUAUUGGAGCACAUGCGUGGAAUUGGAAACAUACUUGCGGAGUGUCUACGCAUAGAACACAUUGUGCACUCUCGCAAGUCGAGGUGGCAACGCUAACCGAUAAGCCACGGGGCCAACCCGAUCCAAAAUCUCAUACGGUCCAACAUAGCGAGGACUUAACUUUCCUCGCAUUUCGAACCGCUUAACGCCUCGCAUAGGGGAGGCCUUUAAGAAUACCUUGUCUCCAAUUGCAAACUCGAGGCUGCGACGACGCUUGUCGGCAUAACUCUUUUGCUGAGACUGUGCCGUCAACAUCCUCUGUCGAGCAAUGCGAACUUUGUCCUCGGCUUCGCGUAGCACAUCCGAACCCAACUCAAGUCGUUCUCCGACCUCACCCUAAUGUAUCGGGGACACUUUCGUCCAUACAAGGCCUCGAACAGAGCCAUUCCGAUGCUCACUUGAUAACUAUUAUUGUAGGCGAACUCCGCCAUAGGCAAAUAACUAUGCCAACCUCCCUUGAAGUCAAGAACACACGCUUGCAACAUAUCCUCAAGGAUUUGAAUUGUCCUCUCCGACUGACUAUCGCUUUGAGGAUGAAACGCGGUACUGAACUUGAGUCAUGUGCCAAGAGCACUUUGCAAGUUCUUCCAAAACUGGGAAGUAAAUCGAGGGUCCGGAUCUGACACAAUUAAUACCGGAACUCCAUGUAGUUGGACGACCUUAUCCAAAUAAACUUGCGCUAGUUUGUCACCUGACUAUGUGAUGUGAAUUGGCAUGAAAUGCGCAGAGUUUGUAAGGUGAUCCACCACUACCCAUAUUGCUUGCAUCGUGACUACCUUGGGAACGGGGUAACCCCAUGACCAAGUCCAUAGUCACGUCCUCCCAUUUCCACACGGGGACUCGUAAACUUUGCAACUUUCCCACUGGGAGUUGAUGUUCAGCCUUAACUUGUUGGCACACUAAACAUUGCGCUACAAAGCGACCAAUGUCUCUCUUCACCCCGGGCCACCAAUAAUGGAUCCUCAAAUCCUUAUACAUCUUGGUGCCACCCGGAUGUAUGCUAUAAGGGGAUUGAUGCGCUUCUUGCAUGAUCUCGCUCCGCAUUCCCUCAUCACUAGGAACACAUAAUCGGCCUCGAAACCGGAUUGUGCCAUCGGAGCCAAUGCUGAAAUCACUCGCACGUCCACCCUCAACGUCACGUCGCACCUUUUGGAGAUAAGGAUUUUGUAACUGUUGAGUCUUAAUUCUCUCCAACAAGGUCGGUUGCACUACUAGGCUUGCAAGAACAAUUGGGACGUCCGGAGCUACCACCUCCAAAUCAAAACGCCGUAAUUCUUCAAGCAAUGGCGGUUGGUUAGUAACCAACAUCGCAAGAUUUUUUGCCGACUUCCAACUUAGUGCAUCGGCAACCACAUUAGCUUUUUUCGAAUGGCAAAGAAUUGUGACAUUAUAGUCUUUCAACAGUUCUAACCAUCGGCAAUGCCUCAGAUUCAACUCUUUCUGUGUAAACAGAUACUUGAGGCUCUUGUGGUCGGUGUAGACUUCGCAACGCUCGCCAUACAAAUAAUGUCUACACAACUUGAGUGCGAAGACCACAGCAGCUAACUCUAGGUCAUGAGUGGGAUAAUUUUUCUCAUAGCUUUUCAAUUGCCGGGAAGCAUACGCAAUGACUCGCCCGCGUUGCAUUAAUACACACCCAAGACCCAGUCGUGAAGCAUCACUAUACACCACAAAACUCUCACCGGGAGUGGGUAAAGCAAGGACCGGAGUUGUAGUCAAUCUCUUCUUUAAUUCUUCAAAGCCCCGAGCACAAUCCUCGCUCCACGCAAACUUAACUCCUUUCUGAGUAAGGCUCGUGAGUGGAAGAGAGAUCUUAGCAAAUCCUUCCACAAACCGUCGAUAAUAGCCGGUAAGGCCCAAAAAGCUUCUGACCUCGGUCACAUUCGUCGGGUGAGGCCAAUUCCUUAUUGCCUCCACUUUUCCCGAAUCAACCGAAACUCCAUCAGCCGAGAUCACAUGCCCUAAGAAAGCAACUUUCCAAAGCCAAAAGUCACAUUUCUUUAACAUGGCAUAAAGCUUCUCCUGAAGUAGCUGUAGCACAACUCUCAAGUGCUCUAUAUACUCAUCGUCGCUCCGAGAGUAGACCAAGAUGUCGUCUAUAAAGAUUACGACAAAUCGGUCCAAAUACGACUUGAAAACACGGUUCAUUAAGUCCAUUAAAGCCGCCGGGGCAUUCGUAAGUCCAAAUGGCAUAACCGUGAAUUCAGUGCCCAUACCGUGUUCGAAACGCGGUCUUAUGCACAUCCUCCGGUUUGAUCUUCAAUUGAUGAUAGCCCGAUUGGAGAUCAAUCUUGGAAUACACCUGCGACCCUUGCAACUGAUCAAACAAGUCGUCGAUACGGGGCAACAGGUACUUGUUCUUAAUUGUGACCUUGUUCAACUCGCGAUAAUCUACGCAGAGUCGAAACGAUCCGUCUUUCUUCUUCACAAACAACACCGGGGUUCCCCACGGGGAUACACUUGGCUUAACAAAGCCCUUAUCGAGAAGGUCUUGCAACUGUGCCUUCAAUUCUCUCAAUUCCGCUGGUGCCAUAUGGUAUGGAGCUUUAGAAAUCGGUGCCGUUCCGGGAACUAAGUCUAUCACAAACUCGAUCUCCCGGUCCGGUGGAAAUCCCGGUAAUUCCGCGGGAAAUACAUCCGAAAAUUCACAUACUACCGAAAUGUCCCUAAGAGCUGGGAGCUCCUUCUGAGUCUCCACCACCGAUGCCAAAUAAGCUACACAUCCACUCUUGAUCAACCUUCUCGCUCUUGACGUCGACACCGUCAUAGCAAAGAGCGAACUCUUGCAUGCACGAUAAACCACUUCUUUCUGACCAGGCUCACGAAAAGUGAUCACCUUGCUUUUGCAAUCUAUGGUGGCAUAAUACUUCGAGAGCCAAUCAAUUCCAAGGACUAUGUCGAAGCCUUUCAUCCGGCUCAACACAAGCAAGUUCAUUGGCAAAAUCCAAUCGCCAAUUUGCACUGGAUAAGCUAUACACGCUCAUCCUUGAUACUAAAGGUGUGCUCAGGUGUAUCCACCCACUAAGAAUCUGCACACAACGAAAUCUCAAUGUCAUGAGCUUUAGCGAAAGACAUGCUAACAAACGAGUUUGGUGCGCCAAUGUCAAAUAAUGCUCUAGCUCUAGUACUAUUAACUAGGACAAUACUUGCCACGACAUUGUCGGCUAUGGCAGGCUCCUCCACUUGAGCAGCAAAAACUUGUCCACUUGGCGCCGCACGAGAUCCCUCGGCCUGACGCGGCACCAUGGCGCGUCGAGUAGACAUCGCGGGCGGAUGUCCCUCAAACUGUCCUGCUUGCCCACAUUGGAAACAUUUAUCACGCUGACCACAUUCGUGGGGUGGAUGAUUUCCCCCACAAAUGUAGCAGUGAGGAGGUCCACGAUCCUUCCACGGCUUCCGCGGAUACUUCGGAGGCUUCUUGAACUUCGAUGGCCCACCGGGGCCACUAGCCGUUCGCUUCUUCUUCGCACCCUUAUCACUUGGCUCGCACUCCGCGUGCAUCUUAACAAUUCCUUGCUCCACCCAAAGAGCUCUAUCAAACACCUUGGUAAAAGUCUUUAACUUUAAGGGUUGCAUCGCCGCAGACUUACCGCCGAAGUCCACGCUCGAUGCAUCCCGCCUUGUCCUCAUCAUUCCGAACCACAUGCGGAACGCAAUUCAUGAUAUGAGAGAACUCCCUCUCGUAUUCUCGAACAGUGCAAUUCCCUUGCUUAAGACCUCGAAAUUGCUCUUCCAUCUUUUUCUUAUCAUUGUCCGGGAAAUUAACGCCAUAAAGCAACCCUCGGAACUCCUUCCACAUCAUCGGGGGUAAUGUAGGGGAGUGAUUCCGAAGAGUCGCCUUCCACCACACAUGGGCGGACUUCUCAAGGCAAUGCACAUCUACCUUGCACCUUAUCUUGCUCAAGGGUGUAAAGAUCCUCGAACAAUUUCUCCAUAGUAUCCACUCACGACUCCAUUUCCCACGGGUCACCCGACUCCCCGUUUAUGAUGGGCGGAUUGAACUUCUUGAAGGCGGUGAGGCAAGCGAGAGCUCGAUCCUUCUCGGCCUCCAAUGUCAGAUCAAUAGGAGUCGAAGUACUUGACAUCGCUGGACAAGUGCCCGCCGCAACACCUGGCAGCGCGGGAUAUGUCGUCGGCGGUGCUGCCGUCGCACCCUCCCUCUCUGCUCCAGAAAGGGCGCGCACAGGUAAGGCGGGCGGCUGCUGGGUGACAGGUGUCGCCGCUACCUGUCGGGAUACCAACUCCCGAAGUAGCGCCACCUGUCUUUCUGUCGCUGGGAGACCUCAGCCAACUACUGAGAAGCUUCAGCUUGCCUCCGCACCACUCCAACAAAAGCGGCAACUUGAUCCCGCAAGUCCUGAAUCUCGACGGACAUCGACGACUCAGGCACCUCAGGAGGCGGUGCCGGAUCAGGAGUAGGUACCAUUGGAGGUGGCCUUCCACGUCUCAUAACGUCCUGAAAGAAAAUAACAACCCCUGGUUACACUCCACGAAUUCGCAACUAACAUAAGUUAGCAACACAAACAGGACAACCCAAUUAGGCGAAAAUAAGACAAGGGUGCUUAUUCUCAUCUCUCGGCAUCAUGUUGUCCGACGCCAACAUUACCUCCUCAAGUUUAAGAAUAAAUCACACUUGAAUCCGUCUCUAAGGCCCAUUAGAGACACAACACCACUUGACCUAAUUAUUUCACUUCCGCCAAUACCAUAAGUCAUCGUCUCUCACGUCCCUAAAUCCUUAAGGCCACAAGUCCUAAGGUUUCCUAGGUCCUCCUAGACCGUUCUCCGCUCUAAUACCACCUCAAUCUGUCACGACCCGAUGCCCGCCAAUUUGGACAGCUCGGGCCCCAAAACAGACCCGCCGAACGGACAGAGUUUCCCCUGCCCGCCCGAAGCGUAACAAAGUCUAUGCAUACAUAUCCAAGCAAUAGAUAUAAGCAUCAACAUUGAGAGAGGCAAUCACAGACACAAGAGAAUUUAAAUUAUCUAUUACAUUUCUUUUACAUAUGAAAUAUUGCAUUCUUUUUAACAUGUUACAACUCCUUUAUGCACAAAAGGGUAAUCUCACAUUUUCAUACAAAAUGAUCACCUCACAUAUAUAUACAUCACAUAUCCCAAAAUGGCUUUACAUUUCAUUCACGAAAGGGAUUUACAUUCUUUUAUUGCUAUAUACGAGGGUAGUGAGCUAAUGCCGGUGGUACACUCUAUCUAGGGCUCGAUGCCCUUGCCGCGAUCCUCGACGUAAGCGCUCGUGCUUGGCUCUACAAAACAGUGUGUGAGAACUAAACAGAGUUUUCAGUGGGUUCGGCCGCAGACCUCGCCGAUUUUUCCUCUAGGUCUAAAAAGGCAUAGAAACAAUAGAUAGGUUAAUAUGACAACGAAAUGAUAGAUAGAACAAUAAGCCUAACAUGCUCAUAUACUUCUAUAUCAUGCUUCAAAUGUGUAGCUAUGUCUUUACCAAAUAUAUUAACAAGUAUAAGUUUUACUAUGUCUUUAACAAUGUUAUCUAUCAAUGUUCUACUAUGUAUGCAUCUAUAUGAAAUGCCAUGCUCAUGCCUUGAUCCAAAUCCAAUCGGUUCGCCCAAAGGUCGAACCACAACUCGCCACACACACUGUCACGCCACCAUGACCGUCUGCCGGGGAUGCACUGUCGCGCCUUACCCCCCGUCACUAUCUCACUGUGAUACAACCCCGGAGCUUGCCGGGGAUGCACCGUCGCGCCUUACCCCCCGUCACUAUCUCACUGUGAUACAACCCCGGAGCUCACAACAUGGCAUGGGAGGCGCGACCUCCACAACUACAAUAGACGACGCGAGUAUGAUCAUAGUCCUCCCGCUCGAGGACUGCGGGAAUCCCACAUCCUUAUCCAUCACAAUGCAUGUAAUGCUCACCAUAGGCCACAUAUACAAUAUGUGUCACGCCCCGCCCCGAGACCGCUACCAAUUUGGCACGGUUCGGGCGCAUUGGACGGACGCCGAACGGGCAGCAACUCCCCUGCCCGCCCAAGGCUCACAACCUGAUCAUGUACAAGAAUUUACCCAGGAACAUUAAAUUCAUACAUACACGAUCAACGGGGCACAAAUAGUGCCAACAACGAAGAGCAAGUAAUCCACAAGAUACACGAGUGAAAUAAAGAGAGAACUAUUAACUAUUACAUCACAUUUGCAUUCUUUAUACAAUUACAUUUUUCAUGAAACGAAAACAUGUCUUCUAAUUUCAUCAAAUACAUAGCUCUCCGAAUCCUCACCUAUAUAAAUCUCUCUCAAAUACAUAGGUGUGCUAAUGCAAAAGGAAAGCUACUACAUACUACUGCUCGGGCGCGAUGCCCUUGCCGCGGUCCUCGCCCGGCGAACUGGUACUAGGCUCUGAAAUAAAGUGGGGUGAGAACUAUCUUCCAUAGUUCCCAGUGGGUUCGGCCACCGACUCCGCCGAUCUCCCCACUAGGUCCGAGUGGGCAAAAGCAGAUAGAUAGAUAGAUAUUAAAGCUGUAAAUGCAAUAGUAGGAAAGCUAUGCUACUAUGCCCAAUCAUAUGUCAUAUAUGCAUGCAUGAAUCAUAUAGUGAAAUGUCAACUACUAUGCUACCAUGUCCAACCAUAAUGUCCAAUAAGCAAUGUUCAAUUAACGAUGCUAUACUCUUGUUCAAUCAAUCCUUGGCCAUCCACUUGGGUUCGCCCAUGACUCGCCUCAAACCUCGUAUGAUAAGGAGACGCACCUCGCUCUCAAACCCGGGGCCGUCUGCAGGACAUCAACUCGUCCCUCUCGUACCAAACUCCGGAGUGCACGAAGACUCGGGUGGAGCGACCACCACAAGUAAAAAUAGACUGUGAGUAUGAUCAAUCCUCUCAACUCGAGGAUACCCUAUCAACUCUAGGUUUACAAGUCACUCGGGAAUCCACCUAUCCCAAUGUCCAAAUACUAUGUUUGGCCUCAUCAUGUGUUUAUGCAACAAGUCAUUUUCUAGAGAAUCCAUCUAUCCCUAAGUUCACAUGUCUCUAGUGUUAUUUACACUAAGCCAUAUACUAUUUUUCAUGUCUUUACAUUCAUCGAGUUCAUCUCUUUUCCUUGGCACUAUAGGAUUCAAAUGUCAAGACCCAAUCCUCAUCUAGCCAUAAUCAUGCACUUCUACUCAUACAUCGAUAUCAAUAGUAAGCAUAAGAAAUGGAAACUACAAUGCAAUCCUACAAUGCAACAAUGCAAGAGAUGCAAUCAUAAAUGCUAUGACAUAGAAAGGAGUCCGGUUGCUUAGGGAUGACACCAUCUACCUUUUGAGGGUACGAAGGUUCUAGAAAUGCUUCUCGCCGAACGUUACGACGAGGUCUCAACCUCCUUGGUCCAAAACGGUGCUCAAUCGGCUAUAUUUCACCGAUAGCUCUUCACCCGCUCGACGAAUCGAAAAUCCAACUUCGCCCCCGCGUUUAGACACCUAUCAAUUAGGUUUACAAGCCACUAAAUGAGAUCAAUCUCAUCAUUUAUCAAAAACCUCCAUUUGGGUGCCCUAAGGUUCACAUCUUGCAAUUUGCACCAUGAAACCCUAGCCUCUAGCUCUAAUCCACCAUUAAUGGUGCUAGAGGUCUAUUUGACCUCAUUUCCAAAGCUCAAAACCCAAAACCCUAGGUUCUACCAUUGUUAGGGCUCAAGAGCUUACCUCUAGGUUAGCUCCAAUGAAGAGGAAGAGGGAGAGGAAGAUGCUCCAAGCCUUCUCUAGCUUGCUCUUCUCCUUCUUCUUCUUCUCAUUCCUUUCUUCUUCUUCUUCUCCUUCUUCUUCUCCUUCUAGAGAGAGAGGGAGAGAGAAAUGAGAGAGUGUGAGAGUGAGGGGUGACAGAGAGGAAAGGGGUCAGUCCCUCUAUACCCCUCUAACUAAUGGCAUUUUUGCAAAAAACUCCACUUUAUUUCUCUCAACCCAGGCUGCCUGGGCAAAUUUCGCACGGAGGGACCGGUCCCUGGUCGGGAGGACUGGUCCCCGAGACAAUUCCUCCAAUUCUCACGUACGGGAACCGGUCCCUGCCCGAGAGACCGGUCCCUGGGAGACCGGUCCUUGCCUGAGAGACCGGUUCCCGAAAGUGGGAUUUUCAGGACUUAGCCAAAUUUUCCUCUGCUCGUUGAUUUCACCUACGGGGACCGGUCCUUCAGCCCUGGGGACCGGUUGCAUCAAGCAUUUCCGCAACCACCAGCUACGGGGACCGGUCCUUCCCUGCCAGGGACCGGUCCCCGAGAGCAGAAUCUGCCAAGUGCCAGAUUUUGCACUAUUUGCUCUCGUAGACUCGACUCCAAAGCACUUUUUGUGUUUUGGACAUCUUUAGCUUCUCCAAAGCAUACCCACUCGACAAUUAGUCGAUUCUGGACGAAGUACAACUCGGGUUUCGAGAAUUCACUUCCUUACAAUAUGCUCCAGUCCUCUCGCCAGAGGACCGCGGGAAUCCCAUAUCCCUAAUUCUCAUAAUGCCAUAAGUUCAUAAUUAUCAUGAGUGAGGAUAUGUUACAUAUGCAAUAAUUUCCAAUUAUCAUUAUAGGUCCACAUACAUAUGCCUUCUAGCAUCUCAUGCACAUAUCUAGCAUAUUCUCACAACAUGUCCACAUGCACAUAUCCAAAUGCCAUAAGUCCACAUCUAGUUCACAUGAAUCUAGCUAUUCUCACAAUAUGUCAACAUGCAUAUAUCCUCUAGCAUUUUAUGCAUUCACAUAUAUACAUCUAUCUCAACAUCAUGCAAUAAUGCACUUACAAGUAUCAUGCAACAUGGAUCAUCAUCCCUCUCACUAAGCAUGAAUUUACCAAGACUCAUAGGUUUCCCACAUAACUCAAUGCAUGAUGAUAUAUGAUCAAUAUAAGUAGAACUUAGACAUAGAAUGAAAUCCGGCUAUUUCGGAUAGUACCCCCCACCUUUUGGCGUCGUCACGAAGUGGGUAGCCAAGCAGCGCGAUUUAUAAUCGUCGAUUUCACUCGACUGCGGCAAACGAAACUAAAACGGCAACUUCUUGCAAUUGACCACCACCGGCUCAACGGAAUCUCAAUCCAAGUGAUCCUCCGCGUCGGUUUCACCUUCAAUUGCGGAAACAUAGGAUCAAUUGAGAUCAAAACCUAUCAUGAUCAAAAACCUUCUUCUGAAACCCUAAAAUCCCUUAUAUUGCAAUAAAUCCAAAUCUCAUGAUAAUUUAUGCAAUAACAUGGAUUAAACUCAUCUAGGGUUCCAUUUAUAGUCAUUUUUAAGGGAUUUAUACACAACCCUAACCAUAAACCCUCAAAUCUCUUGGCUAGUGUUUGGUUGGGGGUUAAGGGGUGGAAUAACCCCUUAACCCCCAACUUAUUUCCAAACACAUCAAAUAAGGGGUGGGGUUAGCAAACCCCAUCCCAAAUAGGCUAUCCCGGAAUAGCCCAUUUUGGGGGGUGGGGUUAGCUAACCCCACCCUAUCCCUAUCACGCCCCAAGACCGCUACCAAUUUGGUCCCGUCCGUGUGCGUCGAACAGACGCCGAACGGACAGGACCUCCCCUGUCCGGCCAAGGCCAAGCAAACUGAUCAUGUAUAAGAAUUUAUCCAGGAGUCCAUUCAUAAAUACACGAUCACAAGGAGCACCACCAGUGCUGACCAAUAAGAGCAAGAUACAAGUAUGAAGCAUACUAGUAAAUCAAGAGAGAAAGUUCUAUCUAUUACAUUCAUUCAACCUCUUUGAUACAUCGAUUACUUCAAGCAUAAACAUAAAUAAAACAUGCUUUUACAUCCUUCAAAAAGCCUCACACCUAUACAUCAUCUACUCUCAAAUACAAAGGGUGACAGCUAAUGCAAAAGGAAGUAAAGCUAGCUAUGUACAUAUACCAAUAGGGUGCUAUGCCCUUGCCACGAUCCUCGCACUCGCCGGGGACACUCGAACUGAGACCUGAAAAGAGUGGGGUGAGAACUAUCUUCCAUAGUUCCCAGUGGGUUCGACUGCCGACUCCGCCGGUCUCCCAACUAGGUCCAAGUGGGCACAAGUAGAUAAACAGAUAGAUAGAUAUGGAAAGCUGUAAUGACAGAAUAGUAAAGCUACACUACUGUGCUCGAAUCAUGAAUAUGGAGAAUGCAUGCACAAUGAAGUAGAUAAUCAACUAGCUCGUCAUAUGUCCAAGAAGUAAGGCUAUUUACUUGUUCAUUAACCCCGUGGCUCACUCAAGGAUUCGCCUACUACUCACAUAGCCAUCUCGACGCGUAGGGAGACUAGACUCAAACUACGAAUCCGAGACCGUCUGCGGGACCCCACAUAGGCCAUCCCUCGAGACCCCAAAUAGGCCAUCCCCAUCCCACGGGACCCCAAAUAGGCCAUCCCUCGUGACCGACUCCGGAGCGCACUACUUGUGUGGAGCGACCAUCACAAGUCGAGAACAGACAAUGAGUAUGAUCCAAUUCUCCCACAUCAAGGGUACCCUGUCCUCUAGGGUUACUAUCACCAUAGUCAAUGGGUUUCAUAUACGCUACGACUCACAUAUGCCACUCGUUCUUUGUUUAAUUAACAACUAGAUGCCACUCGUUCUUUUGUUUCAACCAUUGCGUCAUUCUUUUACCGCUGCACUAUAGGAUUACAAGUCUCGACCCAAUCCUCAUCAAUCCCCUAUAUCCAGCAACUAAUACAUAAUAUGAUAUCAGCUAGGAAAACAUAAGGAAAGGCAAUGCACAAUUAUCCUACAAUGCAUGUGAACACAAGAUGCAAGGUCUCAAAAUACUAAGACAUAAGAGGGAGCCCGAUUGCUUCGGGAUGGUCACCACCCACCUUUGGUGAUGCCGCAAUGGUAGAAACUCGACUUCGUAGUCCUUGGUCGACGCUUUGGCUCCUCGGGCUGAUUCGAACCCUUAAGCGCUUGAUUCGGCGAUAUCUUCACACCCGCUCGUCGUAUCAACGAACCGUCUUCACCGACGCGUUCCGAGACCUAGCAAUUAGGUUUACAACCCGUCGAAAUAGAUCAAGACCUCACAUAUCCAAAAAUCCCAAAAUGUGCCCUAAAAUGGCAACGAGGGAGAAAUCCGUGGUGCGAGCUUCAAAUGCGAGCUCGAACCAUCACCCUAGCCUCCAUAGGUUCCAUUCGAACCACCUCUAAGCAAUAAAACCCAAUCUCAAGAAAUCCACCAUGGAUGGGUUUGAAGCUUACCUCUAUACCAAGCUCCAAGCUUGUUCUAGCUUGAAGGAGAGAGGGAAGAAGAUGAUCCUCUUCUUCUUCUUGGUCUUCUCCUUCCUCUUUCUCUUCUUUUCCUUCUUUCCCUUCUCUUCUUCUUUUCCUUUCGUUCUAGAGAGAGAGAGGGAAAGAGUGUGAGAGGGAUAGAGAGCAAAUGAGAGGGAGAGAGAGGUCCCCCACCUCUCAUAUAGGCCAUUUUAUAGAUAGCCCCCUCAACUUUCCAUCCUCUGCAGCAGCCCUCACUGGGCAUUUUCGCAGUGAGGGACCGGUCCCAGAUCGGGGAGACCGGUCCCCGAGAGCCUUCCAUCUCGGGCAGAGGGGAUUUCGCGUUCGGGAACCGGUCCCUGCCUGAGAGACCGGUCCCCGGGAGACCGGUCCUUGUCCUGAGAGACCGGUUCCCGAGAGUUAGAUUUUCGGGACUUAGCCAAAUUUCGGCCAUUUCUCGCUGGGCUAACGUUCGGGGACCGGUCCUCCCCUGCCAGGGACCGGUUGCAUCAAGGAUCCCCGCAAGCCCAGCCUGAUGGGACCGGUCCCUCCCUGCAAGGGACCGGUCCCAGAGAGCAAAUCUGCUCCAGUGCAGAUUUUGCAAUGCUGCUCUCGCAGACCCUUCCUUAAUGCACUUCAUGCAUUUUAAUCACCUCCGGACUUUCCGAAGCCUACACACUCGACAAUUAGUCGAUUCUAAACGAAGUCAAAUCCUCGGAUUUCGAGAAUUCACUUCCUAACAAUCCCACUACUCCAACCAAACAAAACACUAUUUUACCCACUAUCCUUCUUAUCCCACCUACUUCAACCAAACACUAUUUUCCUUAAUCCUGGACUAACUCUAAUUCUCAACCAAACACAAAAAAUACUCUAACCCCACCUUAACCCUGAACUUAACCCUAUCCUUGGAAUAACUAGUUUUUUUUUAACCCCGAACCAAAAGCUUACCUCUAAACCAAGCUCCUUCUCAAGCCAAUGGUGAAGAAGAAGGAAGCUUCACCUCCAAGCAAGCUUCUCUCCACAAAACUCCACUUCUUGAAGCAACCCUAGGAGAGAAAGAGAGGUUUAGAGAGAGAGAGAGGUUUCUCUUUGUUGGUUCAAGUGGAGAGGAAUGAGGGAAAUGACAUAACACCCUCAUAUAUACACUUCCACUUGCAACAUUUACACUUUAGCCCCUCACAUAAUAGGGUUAAGCUGAACCCACGCUUUCACGCGUACGGGGUCCGGACCCCGAGAGCAUUUUUAACACGAAAAUUUUUGGAAAUCUCACAUCGUGCUCUCCAAGGUCCCUCCCUUGUACCCCUAUAAGCCCUUCCGAUCACUCGGAACACUCAACGGACCUCUCUAAAGUGUCCAAUACCACACUUUGGUCAAUUUCGACUGAAGUUCGGUUUUGCGC